rnacentral:rRNA from 1 species
UACGUAGGGGGCAAGCGUUGUCCGGAAUCAUUGGGCGUAAAGAGCGUGUAGGCGGCCCGGUAAGUCCGCUGUGAAAGUCCAGGGCUCAACCCCGGACUUGCAGUGGGUACGGGCAGACUAGAGUGUGGUAGGGGAGACUGGAAGUUCCUGGUGUAGCGGUGAAAUGCGCAGAUAUCAGGAGGAACACCGGUGGGCGAAGGCGGGUCUC